GACGAACGCUGGCGGCGUGCUUAACACAUGCAAGUCGAACGAAGUGGCGAACGGGUGAGUAACGCGUAAUCAACCUGCCCUUCAGGGGGGGACAACAGUUGGAAACGACUGCUAAUACCGCAUACUGAAGGAGGGGAUUGCGUUUGAUUUGCUAGUUGGGUGGGUAACGGCCCACCAAGGGGAUGAUCAGUAGCCGGGCUGAGAGGAUGAACGGCCCAAUGGGGACUUGGACACGGCCCCGACUCCUUCGGGAGGCAGCAGUGGGGAAUCUUCCGCCAUGGACGGAAGUCUGACGGAGCAACGCCGCGUGAGUGAUGACGGCCUUCGGGUUGUAAAGCUCUGUUAAUCGGGACGCGUUACCGGAAUAGAAAGCCACGGCUAACUACGUGCCAGCAGCCGCGGUAAUUC
rnacentral:rRNA from 1 species